UCGGAUGUUGUGCAGGGUGCACCCCUGCUACCUGUUACAAAUGGAAGAGGGAAAUUCUCGCAGGUGAACGGAGUUCGACUCCCCGCGUCCGAA